rnacentral:rRNA from 1 species
GAUGAACGCUGGCGGCGUGCCUAAUACAUGCAAGUCGAGCGAACAGACGAGGAGCUUGCUCCUCUGACGUUAGCGGCGGACGGGUGAGUAACGCGUGGAUAACCUACCUAUAAGACUGGGAUAACUUCGGGAAACCGGAGCUAAUACCGGAUAAUAUAUUGAACCGCAUGGUUCAAUAGUGAAAGACGGUUUUGCUGUCACUUAUAGAUGGAUCCGCGCCGCAUUAGCUAGUUGGUAAGGUAACGGCUUACCAAGGCAACGAUGCGUAGCCGACCUGAGAGGGUGAUCGGCCACACUGGAACUGAGACACGGUCCAGACUCCUACGGGAGGCAGCAGUAGGGAAUCUUCCGCAAUGGGCGAAAGCUUUACGGAGCAACGCCGCGUGAGUGAUGAAGGUCUUCGGAUCGUAAAACUCUGUUAUUAGGGAAGAACAAAUGUGUAAGUAACUAUGCACGUCUUGACGGUACCUAAUCAGAAAGCCACGGCUAACUACGUG